GAUGAACGCUGGCGGCGUGCCUAAUACAUGCAAGUCGAGCGAACGGACGAGAAGCUUGCUUCUCUGAUGUUAGCGGCGGACGGGUGAGUAACACGUGGAUAACCUACCUAUAAGACUGGGAUAACUUCGGGAAACCGUAGCUAAUACCGGAUAAUAUUUUGAACCGCAUGGUUCAAAAGUGAAAGACGGUCUUGCUGUCACUUAUAGAUGGAUCCGCGCUGCAUUAGCUAGUUGGUAAGGUAACGGCUUACCAAGGCAACGAUGCAUAGCCGACCUGAGAGGGUGAUCUGCCACGCUGGAACUGAGACACGGUCCGGACUCCUACGGGAGGCAGCAGUAGGGAAGCUUCCUCAAUGGGCGAAAGCCUGACGGAACAACGCCGCGUGAGUGAUGAAGGUCUUCGGAUCGUAAAACUCUGUUAUUAGGGAAGAACAGAUGUGUAAGUAACUGUUCACAUCUUGACGGUACCUAAUCAGAAAGCCACGGCUAACUACGUG
rnacentral:rRNA from 1 species